UUUCAGGACCCGAUAAGGAGCUGAGGAGGAGAAGUCUGGGAAGGAGAUCUUGGAGGUGAAACUUGAAGGGAAGGAUUUUGAAAGAAGAAGAUAAUACCGAGAUGGGCCUUGAGGAUGGCAUGGAUGGAUUGAGAUCCUAUCUUCUUUUGAGAUCUCCAUUUUGAUGUGAAUAGUUUUGAAGUGGUUUUUGUUUUGUAUAAAAGUUUGGUUAUAAAUUUCAAUAUGAAAAAUAUGGCCCUGCUUUUCUAUCCCAUCGUUUUAUUGUCUGGGGAUUUUAACUGCUUCCGCAUGUGCUUAAUAAACUAAAGGGUCGGCGAUACUUGUCCUGGGAUAUCGCAUUAUAAAAUCGACCAAAUGAGAAAGAUGUGUGCGUGCUCGAGGAUCGGGGCGUGACAUCCUAUUUAAGNNNNNNNNNNNNNNNNNNNNNNNNNNNNNNNNNNNNNNNNNNNNNNNNNNNNNNNNNNNNNNNNNNNNNNNNNNNNNNNNNNNNNNNNNNNNNNNNNNNNNNNNNNNNNNNNNNNNNNNNNNNNNNNNNNNNNNNNNNNNNNNNNNNNNNNNNNNNNNNNNNNNNNNNNNNNNNNNNNNNNNNNNNNNNNNNNNNNNNNNNNNNNNNNNNNNNNNNNNNNNNNNNNNNNNNNNNNNNNNNNNNNNNNNNNNNNNNNNNNNNNNNNNNNNNNNNNNNNNNNNNNNNNNNNNNNNNNNNNNNNNNNNNNNNNNAGCUCGAGUGUAAGAGUACCACUGCAGGUUGGUACUAGUGUAGCAGCGUCGAAUGAUCCUAAGUUCGAUAGGAUCGUUCUGAUGCAAGUACUUCUUGGGAACUGGAUGAGCCAGUAAGCUUAGGAUCAAGCCGCUGUCGUUGUCGCUAUCUCUACCGCCGUCAGUGUUGUAAUCGCCGUUGUCGCUUCACCUGUUGAGAUCCAGAGUGGGGAUAUGAUCUGGGAUCAAGCCAUCGCUUCCAAGUCAAGGUACAGAUCUAGUCCAGGCAUAAAUGAAAAUCGGUCGGGGAAAAGAUCGAGGUCGAGAGUGGUGUUAGCAGACCGAUGAGACAACCAGAAAGAGUGUGUGCUGUCAGUUGGCAGGAGAUAGAAGACUCACCUGAUAGGUGUCAGAAUUGUAGAUGGAAGCAUGGAUAAAUCUAGUGUCCGAAUAUGACUAGAACAUGUUGUGAUGACGACUAGCAUGGCCAUCAGAUGAAGGACUGUCAGUGGAAGUCUAAGGUAGCAUAGACAUUGCUACUGCGGCCAAAACGCCAGCAAGAUGGCAAAAGGAACAGGAACGGAACCGACUAUACCUUAUUCAAUGACAGAAUAUUUUGAGGUGAUUUUAUCAGAAUAGUGCUAGAGAAUGUUGGGAUUGCAAGUGUGGAAUUUCAGUUGUUUGUUAAGGCUGUAGGAAAAGAACCAUUGACUAAAGUUGUACUUGAUUGGCUGUUGGUGUACAACUCUAUCGUUAAGUGUAGAAAGAAUUGGUUCUUGAGCAUUUUAUGGUGAUGAAUUGUUAUGGUAGAAUAACCCAGCUUAUCCCAGGAGCAUGUAGAAGUACCGAGUUUUACUGAGAGUUGAGAAGGGUCCUUGACUUCUUUGAUCUCGUCACUUGAGGUAACCUGGUUGUCAAACAGAAAUUAUCGAGAUUAGUGGGCAAUGAUCUUAGAUAAGACAGAUUGAAGAAUUAAAAAUUGAGAACUCCUCAGUAGUCCAAGAAUUCUUGGAAGUGUUGCCAGAAAAGUGGUCAGACCGUUGCUAGAGAAAGAGAUAGAAUUACGAUCAAGUUAACAUCUGGAACUAAACCAUUCUCUAAAAGUCCUUACCGGUUGUUGUUGUUUGAAUUGAUAGAACCAAUGGUUCAGAUGUGAGGAUUGAUGAAUGAUGAAUUCAUGCAUAUCAGUGCAUCACUUUAGGGAUCAUCAGUUUUGUGAAAAGAGAAAGAAAGAUGGUUUGUUGCAAUUAUGCAUCAACUAUAGUUGACCCAAUCAAGUGACAAUCAAGGAUAAGUGUUCAUUGUCAAAGAUCGACGAAUUGGGCGACUUGUUAUAAAGAGUGUGGAUGUCUUCAAGGAUCGACUUGAGGACAGGUUAUUGUCAGUUGAGAACCAGGAAGGAGGUUAUACUGAAGACGGCAUUUCGCACUUGAUUUUGUCCUUGUGAGAAUAAUGUAAAGCCAUUUGAUUUGACGAACGCUCCAGCCGCUGUCAUAGAUUUGACAAAUCGAGUGUUCAAAGAAUAUCUAGAUCAAUGGUGAUCGUGUGGUAUAGCAACAUUAUAGGGUGUUCAUUAAGUGUUGAGAAUCACGAGAUGCCCCUAAGAAUGGUCGUGUGGUUACAGGUAAAGGAAUCUUCAUGGACCCAGCCAAGAUCGAAUCAGUUGUUAAUGGACCGAGACCGACAUCAAUGUCAGAGAUCAGAAGUUGUGGGGAUUUGACAGAUUACUACGGAAGGUUUGUGAAAGAAUUUUCAGCAUCAGUAUCAUCAUGGGCUUGACCUCUUGAGAAAGAAGAGAAAUUCAUUGGCAUAGACAAGUACGAGAAUAGUUUCCAGAGCUUCAGUAAGAUCAGGCUACCGCACUUGUGCUAAACUUUUCAUUUGGCUCUAGAAAGCAUGAAACCUUUAGUGAUGUGUCUUGCCAACGAUUGGGUAUGUAUUGAUACAACAUGAGAAGAUUGUUGUAUAACCGUCCCGCCAGUUGAGACCCAACAAGUUGAACAUGAAACAGUGUCGUGAAUCAGAAUUUUGGCAGAACUAUAAUGAUGUUAUCUGGUAUUAUCUUGGGAGGAUGAAAGAAGUAAUUUAUGUGUUGAGCCGAGAGUCUUCGAUUAUACAUAGGCUGGCUAAAGUAUAAACUUUACUUAAAAAGGGUUCGAAAUUUGGUUUUCAAAUUUGAGGUAGGCUACCUUUUAAAUUUUAUAGCCGCCCUCAAAAUUGAACCAAAUGUUCAAGUUAGAAUCGGCGCCUAGUUGACAGACAGAGAUGUUCAGGAGAUCUUAUAAGAGGAUACUAGCAAGAAAGAAUCUAACUUUGAAACUUCUGAGGAUGGAACAUUCGGGUUCCAUGAGGAAUUGAGUGCACCUGACAAUGUAGCACUCAGGGAAAAGAUUUUGUCAGAAGUUCGCUAUAGUAUUGCAGCUUUGUCCAGAUGGUGCAAGUAAAUCAGAAUCGGCAUGAGCUAGAUUAGUAAGCUGAUAUGAAGAUAAAUACAGCUAAGCAGGUUGAAAGCGUCAGAAGUGUCAGUAAGUGGAAUGCGAAUCGGGAGGAUUUUACCAUCACUUGAGAGUCCCAAGUGAAAAUGGAAAUAUAUCACAAUGGAACAUUGUGAUAGGCUUACUAAAGAUUCAGGGGAUUACUGAUACCAUUUGAGAAUAGUGGUUGAUCGAUAGAUGGAGUUGGUCUACGUUGGUACAGUAUGAGUAGAUCUUGUUUUGAGUAUGUAGCAUCCAGAUUUCGGGCUUUGAUUUCGAUUAGAUAAAUUGGGCAUUUCCUCGAUGCGAUUACAGUGUUUUUCUCUGAGUUGGCCACUCAUGAGAUAACUAGACUAGCUGGGUGAGUUAUUAAGGACCUUAAGGCAAAUAGACUUGAGAACUCGACCAUGGAUCGACUUCUCGACCGUGCUCAUCUUUAGAGAUCAUUGCGGCACAGUAUAAAAUCGAUUUGAAAUCAGAAAUAGAUCGGCUCGACUGAGAUGAAUGACCGAUCGUGGGUGACUCCACUAAAUUGGAAAAUUCUCAUCGACCGGUACUAAUUUGAUGUUUCUAUCGUUUUGGUACCCUGUGUCCGUAUUUGAACCUUUGAGAUUUUCACGAUAAUCGAGGGUCGCCAAUGUGUCGAGUGGGUUCAUUGUGGUUCGAAGAAAAUCGACCACGGGUCAUUUGUCCUAAAAAGCUCUGAACACUACCCAGUAGCCUAGGUCACAUUAAAAGUGUGUCGGAGUGAAAUUAACCACCAAUCUAAGUUCGAUUUCAGAAAUUGAAGAUCCUAUCUUGUUACAGAGUGGGUAUACCGAAGUGUGUGUGCAUUAAAUAAUUCGCCGGCAUGGAGUGUCGAGGAUGAAUUAUAUUUCGAAUCUAAAUCAGAGAUUAUAAAUUUGGCAAAGUUUCAGAGGAUUCUUUAUUAAGCAGUGUAUAGCAGAGGGUAUAGAAUUUCAGUGGAGAAAAGAAAGUGAAUAAAGAUUUCAGGCCAAAGUCAUUACAGUAGCCAGUGAUUACAGUUGCCAAGAUCAGUGCCAGAGUUAUAUCAGAUCUUGACCAGAGAUUCCCAGUUUCAGCAGAUUAGUCAAAUAGUUUCUCUUUAAUCAGUGCAAAGCAGAGUGUACAGGAUUUCAGUCGGUGGAGAUGAGAUCAGAAAUUUGAAAAUCGCAAGUCCAGAGUCAGCUCAGUGAUCAGUAUUUGCAGUUGUUAGAUCAGUGUCAGAGUAAAGGCUGCUCAGAACUGUCAGAAAUUUCGAAUUGUUGAGGUUCGAAGGUUUACUAGAGAGUCGAGAAAAAGUGAUCAGAUGUGGAUGACAGCGUGUCUUAUGUGAGAAGCUCAGUCCAGUUGUUUGUUCAGAAAGAGCAGAUUUUGUGUACAAAGAUGAUCUUCUUGGUCAAAGUGGUUAGACAACGCCACGAGACCGAAUGAUCAGCGUGGAAAAGUGAGACUCGAUGAGACGGCAAUACCCCCACCUUUCAUUUAUGGAUUGAUGAAGGUUUAAAUUUCGAGGACGAAAUUUUUAUAAGAGGGGAAGAGUUGUGACAUCCAGAUUUUCGGGUUUUAAUUUGACUGGAUAAAUAGGAUCCUGUCUCAUCGCUCGUCAAUUUAUUGACGGGCCCGAAAUUUCAAUAAAGAAAUUAUCGGAAGAAAAUCUGAAGACCAAAAGAAAAUAGAAAGGGAAAGAGAAAAGAAAAGAAAAGAAAAGAAAAGAAAAAUAAUACCAUGUGGUAUUAUAUUAGUAUUUCUUUUCUCUCCCUCUCUCUUCUUUUCUUUCUUUUUCUUUUUCUCUCUUUCUCUCUCUCUUCUCUCCCCUUUUCUUCCGUGCGGACAGCCCCCUCCCCACGCCAACUCUCUCUUUCUCUCUCCCUUUGACCAUUCAACCUUAUCUCUUCUUCUCUCUCCUCUCUCUUCUCCCCCACGUGACCUUCUUCUUCUUCUUCAUUCUUCUUUGUGCGAACCAGACCAAAACCAGCAAAGAAGAGCAGCAGCUCGCCGAGGACCACCGUCGCCCGUCUCGCCGUCGCACCGGAGCCGAACCGCCCGCGACGCCGCCCGCACAACGUAGCGCGUUCCGCCGGCCAUCCCUCACGCCCAGGCGUGCUCUCCCGCACGAUCCAGCUACUGCCCAUCCUCUGUCCAGCUCCGUUCGGCCACGAUUCGGCCACCUCCGGCCACCGUGGGCCACCGCUCGGCCUCGCCAAGCCACCACCCGCUCUCCCGACCUCUUGCCGCCCCCAACCCUCUCUCUUUCUUGCUGUUUUGCGGCCGAACCAGCAAACCCACGGAGUGGGUAUCCAGCUGUUCGUGGGCCGUUUUGGGCCGUUUCCGGACCCCGAACCCGAGGCCCGCUUUGGGAAGAAGUGUUCCUCGCGUCGCCGCCGUCGGAUUGAUCCGAUUUGCGCGCGAUUUGGUGAGUAAUCUCACUAAUCUUUGAUUAGUUGGCUAAUUAUGCUUAAGGUUGGUUUAGUUUUAAUUAAUUAUGUUUAGGUUGUUAGAUUAGAAUAAAUUAGCAAUUAUUAGUCAAUUGUGAUGUGAUUUAGAUAAAUUGAUUGUGCAAUUAACAAGUAGACGUGGUCUACUAUUUAUUGGAAGUAUCUCGGGAAUUUUCCGACCCCUAAUUGGGCUUCAAUUUGGCAAUUCGGGCCUAAGUGAGAUUUUUGGGCAUUUAAAUAUUAAUUUUCGGAAUUAAAUUAAAUAAUUAUUUAUUUUCCGAAAAUUCAAGGGAGAUGGUUUGUGACCGGAAAAUUAUGCUGGUGACGGUGGUGAAGUCCGUUUAUUUAAUUGGGCUUUAAAUUGAGUUAAAUCGAAUUUUUAAUACUAAUUAUUUAAUUUUCGAAAUUUAUUAAUUAAUUAAUUAUUUUCCGAAAAUUCAACUGAGAUGGCCCGUGAUCGGAAAAUUAUGCUGAUGACCGUGGUGAAGUCCGUUUAUUUAAUUGGGCCUUAUUUUGAGCUAAACGGAAUUUUUUAAUGUUUAAUAAUUAAUUUUCGAAAUUAAUUAAUAAUUAAUUAUUUUUCGGAAAUUAAGAUUGAGAUGGCCGACGACUGAAAUCUCGUGCUGAUUGUAGUGGUGCAGUCUGUUUAUUUAUUUGAGCUUUGAAUUGUGCCAAAUUAAAUUGAAUCUUGCAGUGGUCGAGUGGGACCGUAAAGCCAUAGAAUCUUGCAAGUGGUCGAGUGGGACAGUAUAGCCACUGAAUCUCGAAAGUGGUCGAGUGGGACCGUAAAGCCAUUGAAUCUUGAAAGUGGUCGAGUGGGACCGUAAAGCCAUUGAAUCUUGAAAGUGGUCGAGUGGGACCGUAAAGCCAUUGAAUCUUGAAAGUGGUCGAGUGGGACCGUAAAGCCAUUGAAUCUUGCAAGUGGUCGAGUGGGACCGUAAAGCCAUUGAAUCUUGAAAGUGGUCGAGUGGGACCGUAAAGCCAUUGAAUCUUGCAAGUGGUCGAGUGGGACCGUAAAGCCAUUGAAUUUCGAAAGUGGUCGAGUGGGACCGUAAAGCCAUUAAAUAUUGAAUGUUGUCGAGUGGUGGACUGUGUCUUCCACCUUUGCUUAAGAUGUGAUCUGAGGACCGUAGUUCGUAAUUGAUGAUUGAGAUGGAAUAAUCGAAUUUACCUAGAAUGGUCCGUCUGACAUGUAAUCGACGAGGUCGAUUGAUCAUUGCUUUGAUUUGAUGUCGUGGAUUGAUUGACUGAUUAAAAAUGACCAUGAGCGGUCUUGUUGGCUUGUAAUCGACUGGGUCGAUUAGAUCGAUGCUUCGAUCGGUGAUAUGAUUGUUUGAGUGUCUAUUAUGAAUUGUACUGACUUGCAGGUGGGAUCUGAUGCUAAGGUACGUCCUCUGCCCUGUGCGUGUUUAGGCAGCCUAUAGUAUAGUGGUUUACUAAUUGGGCUUAGUGGGGUAGAACUCGCUGAGACGUAGUCUCAUCCCAGUUUGGGGAAAAACAUUUCAGGACCCGAUAAGGAGCUGAGGAGGAGAAGUCUGGGAAGGAGAUCUUGGAGGUGAAACUUGAAGGGAAGGAUUUUGAAAGAAGAAGAUAAUACCGAGAUGGGCCUUGAGGAUGGCAUGGAUGGAUUGAGAUCCUAUCUUCUUUUGAGAUCUCCAUUUUGAUGUGAAUAGUUUUGAAGUGGUUUUUGUUUUGUAUAAAAGUUUGGUUAUAAAUUUCAAUAUGAAAAAUAUGGCCCUGCUUUUCUAUCCCAUCGUUUUAUUGUCUGGAGAUUUUAACUGCUUCCGCAUGUGCUUAAUAAACUAAAGGGUCGGCGAUACUUGUCCUGGGAUAUCGCAUUAUAAAAUCGACCAAAUGAGAAGGAUGUGUGCGUGCCCGAGGAUCGGGGCGUGACACUUAGGAUGCGAAUGAUAACUAUUCUAGCUAAAAAUUGAUCUCUAGAAGAGAAAUAGAUUUUUUCAUUUCUAUUAUUGAAUGAGUUUUAAAUACAAAUAUUCAUUUGGUAACGACACAAAAUUUUUCCCUCUUAG
rnacentral:lncRNA from 1 species